CCAGGAACUCUAAAUUAAGCUUUUUCCUUCUCUAGACCCUUGCCUUGAUAUUAUUCUUCUAAUAUUGGACUAGAGCAAGUUGAGAUAUUCAAAACAAGCAGCAGAGCUCUAAAGGAUGAGAUUCUCCUUACAGGAGAGAAUGGAAUGGAAAAACAACGCCUGAGCCAUGUCAGUCUUCCCCAACCCAAGCAAAGGAUGACUUGGCAGUUCUGAUUGGUGAUAUUAAUUGAUGGGACAGGAACCUAGAAAAGGACCUCACAGGCCAUCUGAUCCCAACCUCUCAUUUUAUAGGUGGGGAAAUUGGGCUCCAGAGAGGUCAGUUGCCUGAGGUUACACAAGCAGUAAGUGAUAGAUUCAGGAUUUGAACCCCGGUCUUCUGACUCCAAUCAGGUAUUUUCUCCAUUACCCACACUGAGUAGAACAAUCUCUCUACAAUAUCUCCCUCUUAUUGAAAACAACAAUAAAUACAACAGAACUAGGAAUGCUUAACUUUGGAGCUGAGCCAGGAGCUGAGCAAAAGAAUUGAGCAUUGCAAGCCAAAAUAUUUGAAGAUUGGCUAAUGUUACUGUGGAGGGUGGAGAAAACUGCAUAUAAGCAGGAGCCUCUGGGACCCUGAGUAUUCUUUUGUGGUCUUUUUGCCUCCUGGGCUUGAGGUCUGGUGAGAUUCUUUGCAGUCUUUUGGCUCCUCAGCAGAUCGAGCUCUUGGAUGGCUCAGCAUCUUUUGGGACUUCAAAUUUCCACUUCUUGAUUUGGACUUUGGAUUCUGGUGAAGAUUUGGCUUUCUGCUUUGGAGACUCCGGCGAAAGAGGGACACUUACUCGGGUGAGACUCUUGCCUCUUUGGCGUGAGAGACUGCCCUUUGGUGUCUGUCUUUGGUUGUUGAAACGCCUGGCUGGAGACACUCUUGUGAGCUGAUGAGAUUCUCAUUUGGAUUCGCAUUCAUGGUCUGGAGGCACUUGGACCUGGACUGAGGGUAUUUUUAGCUGGGCAAUAUUUUCUACCUCCUUCCCACAUUUCCCUCUCUUACUAUCACUAUUUUGCUGUAAUAAAGCUACUAAAACUACUAA